AUUGAUUUUUAAUUAUUUGUGAAGGUACUACGAAUUAACAACAAUUCUAUAGUCAAAACAAAAUAAAUCA
rnacentral:misc_RNA from 1 species